CAAAUAUGUUCUACCAUUCUAUGUUUUGUCUUUUCAUUCUCUUAACAGUGUCUUUUACAAAGCACAAGUUUUUAAUUUUAAGGAACUCCAGCUUAUCAAUUCUUUUUUUCUAGUAUUAUGCUUUUAAUGUUAUAUCUAUCUGUAAAAUCAUUGCAAAAUCCAAGGUCAUCUGGAUUAUCUUGUCGAAGCUUGAUAGCUUUGUGCUUUAUGUUUAUGUUUGUGAUACAUUCUGAAUUCAUUUUUGUAAAGGACAUAACAUCUAUAUAUGGAUUCGUUUUUUAAAAAUGUAGUUAUUCAGUUGUUCCAGCACCAUUUCUUGAAAAGACUAUCUUUUCUCCAUCAUAUUGCCUUGUUCUUUUGUAUAUUUGUGUGGUCUAUUUCUGGGCUCCCCAGUCUGUUCCACUGAUGGAUUUGUCUCUUUUGCAAAUACCACAGUCUUGAUUACUAUAGCUUUGCAGUAAAUAUUCAAGUCAGAUAGUGUUUGUCUUCCAACUUUUUUCUUCUUCCGUAUUGUAUUGACCAUUUUGGGUUUUUUGUCUCUUGAUAAAAACCUUACAAUCAGUUUUUCCGUAUCCACAAAAAAACUUGCUUGGAUUUUGACUGGGAUUGAAGAUCAAUUUGGGAAGAAUUGACAUCAUGACGAUAUUGAGUCUUUUUAUCCAUGAACAUGCAAUAUCUCUUUGUUUAGUUCUUUGAUUUCAUUCAUUGGAAUUUUGUUUAGACACCUUUUUUCUCUUCAUUGUUAUAGCUUAAUAUGUUACAUGUUGGCUCAAUUAGGACUAUUUGGGAUUUUUCUUUUUUUUUUUUUCAUAUAACAGGCUUUAAGGUGGUAUUCUUGGUGUGAAUUCAGAGUUAGUUGAUAUGCCUCUCAGUCACAGGGUCCAGGGCUAAACUUUCACAUGUUGCCAGCUUUACUCCUAAACUAACCCACAUGGUAGAGAAGGAAUUCUUUAGACAGAAAAUGAAGUAUGAUUACCAAAAGAAAGAUGAAUAAAUGCUGGAUAACAAAAAUGUCAGGUACUCUUCUACAUAUUUUAUCAAAAUCACAUUGUAUUUCAGAUGCAUCUUAACGAAUUAACAUUCCACCCCAAAUAUUAGUAAUAUCUAGAAUGUAGUACCCUGAAUACCACUCUUAAAAUCAAUCUGUUUUCUAAAUUCCAUCAGUUUUCAUUUGCUUUAUAACACAUUUGCAAUCUAGCUUGACCUUAAUUACUUUGAUGAACUGCUGUUGGCCUUUUUUCAUUCUUCAUAAUCCUUAAUGCCUUUCCUUGAUAAUACUGGCCACCAUCUCUUUGAAAAUUUCCCCUAUAAUGGUCAUAUGCCUCUGUACUAGUCUGACUUUUCUGCCUUUCUUUAGAUUUCUCCUAUCUUCUUCAGUAGCUUCUCUUCUUUUUACCUUCAACAUGCACAUAUGCUGCAAGUUCUUUUUAUAGGUCCAUUCUUUUCUUUUUCAAUAUUUUCUUUUUCUGGAAUUAUGUAUUUUCUGCAAGUUUACUUUUCACCUCUUUAUCCAGAUGAUUCUAAAGUCACUCUCUUUCUAGUCUUUUACUAACAUCUACUUUCUCCUUAACUCUAGGUUCUUAUUUCUGACUGGCUGCUGCACAUGGCUACCAAUACAUGUCAUUCUCAUUAUGUACAAAACUUGAACUCAUUUUCCCCUCAAAGUGUCUUUAUUCCCUAUUUUUGUUAUUUAACACAACUGUUCUCCUCAUAGUAACUCAACCACAGAAUGUUGGAAUCAUCUCUUAAGCUAUCCUCUCAUUUACUAUGAAAAUUCAAUUGAUUAUCUAAUCUUUUAUAUUCUAGUCCUAAUAUGCACAUAUUUCCAUCCCCAUGCUUAUCUCUCAUUAAAUUUAUAUCUUACCCAACUCUUGGACAAGAUACAACUAAUUCGAAUCCUUGCUUUCAUAUUCUCUAUAGUCAGUUUCACUGCCAUAUAGAUUUUCUUUCUAGUGUAUGACUCCCUGCACAAAAUUCCACAAUAGUACUUCAUUAUUUUCUAAGUGAAUAAAAUUAUUAGCCAUGAAUGGAAGGCUAUCUGACAUAUGGCCAUAGCAUCCUUUUUCAGUCUUGCUCCUAGGAUUCCCCUGCCUGUCCACUUUGCUCUAGUGAUACUGAACCAAUGGCCACUCCCUGAUUAUGCCUCCUGCUUCUCUCCUUCGUUGCCUUAUUCUGUCUUACCGGCUUUCCUUUCUUCUUCUCUUUUUAACUACUUAAUCCUACAGACUAUGCAAGAUUGAACUAAAAUACUCUUAUACCUUUAGGCACAAGAGAUGAACUGCCCUGUCAAUUUGUUUCUCUUCCUUUCUUGUUGCAAAUAACCUUAUUUAUUCUGCUUUAUGUUUAGUUGUUUAAGGACUUAUUCUUUCUACUAGGUUACAUACAGAUGUCUUGACUACUGUUCCAUUUUCAUCUUCAUAAAUUCUGUAACAGCUAUUAGUUCUAAUAAGAACUUUUUAAUUUAAUUGGUUGUUAUUUUCAUAUUUUAUUUUUUAUUCAUAAAGAAUCUUACAGGUGUGUCUCCAUUUCACAUUAUAUGCCAUUUAAUGAGUUCUAUUUUUUUUUCCAUUUAUCUUGUUAGAGAAAAAUGCUUUAAGCAACUAGAAUGUAAAAUAAAACAUUUAAAAAUAUUGUUAGUGUAAAUUUUGAUUUAUCAUUUAGACUUUCACUUUACAUAUGAUGACCCUUAAACUUUUCUAUUAAAUAAUUAAUCUACUUAAAUUUUACCUUUAAGUUAAAAUUUUAAAUUAUUUAUAUGAAUGUAAAAAUGAUAUCAACUAAACAUGGGAUUCUAAACAAAAUAACCAAAUAAUAGAAAGCUGUGAGAUAAAAACGGAGAAAUAUAUUAAAAUUUCUUUGGGGCCCCAACUUUAUUGCUUAUGGCAAAUUUGAUAGUAAAAUAUACCAUGCAUCACUGCAGUGACAGGCUUGAGAAAAUGAAAAAUCCAAAGCUUUACAUAAAUCAAUCAGAAAAUCAUAUUAAAAUGUAUAACCUUUAACAGAAAAAUCAGACUUUUACUUGCAACUACUCAGAAGGCUCUUUCUUCCUUAUGAGGUUGUUUUAGAUUUUCUAACAGCUUUAUGGAAAAUAGUAUUUUAAAUUAAUUAUUAGCAAAGCAAUUGUAUUUAUAGAAAGACAAAGUUCACAGGAAUUUAACCUCAAUUUUAUUAAUGUUCCCUACUUUCACUUAGUAUUUAAUCGUGCUCUUGUUGAAAUAAUUUCCUAAGUACUAAUGUAUCCUAUAAUCAGCACUUAAGUUUAUUUUUUGUUGAAAUAAUUUCCUGGGACAAUUAUAUAUUUUAUAUAAUAAUAAAAGCACACACUUUUAAAAGUUGUCACUUUUAAAAACAUCAUCAGUCUUACAGCCCAUUCUUGGCUCUUUCAUUUUAUUUUGCUUUAUUUGAGAUAUAUCAUCAAAUGCCUUGAAAAACUUUAUAAUGUUUAGCCAUCUCUGUGUUUUUAUUUUUCUCUUCAAUCCAGCAUGUAUCUUGAAUACCUACUCUGUUUAAAAAACUACUAGGUCUACAUGGAAUCUACUAUAAAUGUAGGUAAAUUACAGAGUAAUUCUAGUCUUAAUGCUAAAAUGAAGGUACCACUGUAAUCAUUAUUCCCAAUGUUAUGAUUACAUUGACAGAUAACUCCAGUUUUGCUAACCUGAACUGAUGUUAUGGCCAUAAUAUGUUGUUGAUUCAUGGCAAAUGGUGAUGUGUGAGUUAUGAUCCUGUUUUUCUCAAAAUGGUGGUGGAGGCCGGGAGCUUAUAUGUUUAUUUAUGUAUGAAUGAGGAUAGUAAGAGAUGGCAUAUAAUCACCAGACUGAUCAUAUUGGAUUCUUUGGGGAAGGGAGCAGGAAGGGAGUAAACAGAGAAGCUUAAUUCUUUAUAUAUCUGUAAUCUGUGGCUUCUUAACAAUGAGCAUGUAUUUUUAAUUUUUUUAAAUAUCUGAUUAAGAAAAUUAAGAGAGAGCAGUAUAGUGAGUUUCAGUGCUAAAUAAACACUUAAAUGUUAUUCUUCAACAUUUCACUAGUCUUGGUAGAAAGAGACAAUAGGGCCCUUUAAAACUUUCCAUUGAACUCAGGUGAAAACAUUACUCACAAUGGGGGAUUGAAAUCUAGUUGAUCCUAUAGUUAAGUCUAUAAAAAGACCCCUUCAGAAAAUUUUAUAUGUAUACACACACACACACACACACACACACACACACACAAGAUGACUAAAAGUGUUGGGAUGGUAGGCCUCUUGAGUAUGUUGUGCAUGGGAAUUUGCUGUCAUCACUCAUAGCAACGUGUAUAAACUCAAGGAUCCCAUCCAUGGAGGUAUGCUGCCACUGCCUCUAUACAACCUACAAAAUAUUUCCUUACAAAUAGGACAAAGAAAGUAAGAAGAUAAAUGAUGACUUUUAUUUGCCAACAUUUGGUUCAGCACAACUUUCCUACCCUGUCUCUCCCCACCUUUGCCCUUAGGCUAAGGAGCAGAAAAGUGAUUUGUCAAGAUGGAGCAAGGUAUUUACCAGUCUAAAACCUAAUGCUGUAAAACUAAAUGAGACAACUUGGGGCUUGAAUGGGUGCUGGGCUGUAGGUACUGCUGGGUCACUGUUGCUAUAAAUGGUCACUGGAGCAGAUUAAUAAAUCAAGGAUCAGUUUCACCCACAUUUAAAGGACUACUUGACUCAUUUCUGUCUCGAGUAAAUGGACUUUGGUAGUAGCAACGCCAUACCGUGAUGAUAUCAUUUGUGUUGGGAAUCAAACUGGGCAAUGCAAGAGUGUUUUUGAAGCCUAAAUCUAUGUAAGACUUAUCAGUUUGGGAGAGGAUAAUAAUAAAAGUAACAAUCAAUGCUUCCAAACUCCAAUUGACUGUCUUUUUUAGCUUUUAUAUUUACCUAGU
rnacentral:lncRNA from 1 species